GAUGAACGCUAGCUACAGGCUUAACACAUGCAAGUCGAGGGGCAGCAUGAACUUAGCUUGCUAAGUUUGAUGGCGACCGGCGCACGGGUGAGUAACGCGUAUCCAACCUGCCCUUGUCCACCGGAUAACCCGUCGAAAGGCGGACUAACACGGUAUGCAGUCCACAGCAGGCAUCUAACGUGGACGAAAUGUAAAGGAGAAGGAUGGGGAUGCGUCUGAUUAGCUUGUUGGCGGGGUAACGGCCCACCAAGGCGACGAUCAGUAGGGGUUCUGAGAGGAAGGUCCCCCACAUUGGAAAUGAGACACGGUACAAACACCUACGGGAGGCAGCAGUGAGGAAUAUUGGGCAAUGGACGGAAGGCUGAACCAGCCAAGUAGCGUGCAGGAUGACGGCCCUAUGGGUUGUAAACUGCUUUUAUAUGGGGAUAAAGUGAGCCACGUGUGGCUUAUUGCAGGUACCAUAUGAAUAAGGACCGGCUAAUUCCGUGCCAGCAGCCGCGGUAA
rnacentral:rRNA from 1 species